UACGGAGGGGGACUAGCGUUUGUUUCGGAAUUACUGGGGCGUAAAAGCGCACGUAGGCGGGAUUUUGUAAAGUCAGGGGGUGAAAAUCCCCGGGGGCUCAACCCUCGGGAAACUGCCCUUUGAUACUGCAAAUCUCGAGUCCCGGGAAGAGGGUGAGUGGGAAAUUUCCCUAGUGUAGAGGGUGAAAAUUCGUUAGAUAUUUAGG
rnacentral:rRNA from 1 species